rnacentral:lncRNA from 1 species
UUUGCAAAGUGAUAUCCGAAUAAAAUGAACACUAGAUUCCCACUUGGAGUGGAAGAACAUUGCAGUUGAGGCCUUGGGUAAGCUGUUUCAUAGCCUUCCAGGACAACACUUGCACAGGUUAUCUUUAAGCACCAACAAAAGAAAUGGAGAAAUUUGAGCCAUGUAUCCUGAGCUCUGAAAGGCAGCAAUCAUCUUGACCCCAAGCAUACACCAUGUUCAGCUUCCUCCCCUUGGCCAGGUACCACAGCUACUUCUAUCCCAGUGAUCAGCAGGCCCUCCAG